UGUUGAAAUUUUCAUCCAUUUCUAUUGUUAAAAAUUAGAAUGGCUGAUAAAAUAAGCUAACAGUUACAGGUGGCAUAUAUACCUUAUGCCGACACAUAUUGAUUAAUUUUUAACAGUAGAAAUAAAUAAACAUUUUAACA
rfam:Gossypium hirsutum cultivar TM-1 chromosome 8, whole genome shotgun sequence